rnacentral:rRNA from 1 species
CAGUAGCCGCGGUAAUACGUAGGGUGCGAGCGUUAAUCGGAAUUACUGGGCGUAAAGCGUGCGCAGGCGGUUGUGUAAGACAGGUGUGAAAUCCCCGGGCUUAACCUGGGAACUGCGCUUGUGACUGCACAGCUAGAGUAUGGCAGAGGGGGGGUGGAAUUCCACGUGUAGCAGUGAAAUGCGUAGGGAUGUGGAGGAACACCGAUGGCGAAGGCAGCCCCCUGGGCCAAUACUGACGCUCAUGCACGAAAGCGUGGGGAGCAAACAGGAUUAGAUACCCCAGUAGUCCCUGUCUCUUAUA